GGGAGCGCCAAGCCCGUGAAUAUUUGGAAAAACAUCGGAUCAGAGAGCUGCUGAGCUAUCUCACCAGCGCCCUCGUCUUUACCCGGCCGGAAAAACCAAGAGAAUAUUUAAUAUCUCUACUGGAACGUCUAAGACUUGCCAAAAUAACAGGAGUAGCUUUUCCUGUCUUUAUGGAUAAUUCUAAUAUUGGGGCCAUGUUUGAGAUGAUGGACACCUCAAACAGAGGCACCAUCUCAUUUGUACAGUAUAAAGAAGCCCUAAAAACCCUGGGUUUGUGUACUGCAGAUGAAGUUUUAGAAGAUGAUGGACACGUAAUAACUUUGGAUAAAUUCAAGGAUGAAGUGAACACGAGGACUCAGGAAAUAUGGUCAGCAUUUUAGUAACACCAUAAAUCCAAGAAAAUAAACGAUUCUAUAAAGU